UACGUAGGGGGCAAGCGUUGUCCGGAAUCAUUGGGCGUAAAGCGCGUGUAGGCGGUCCGGUAAGUCCGCUGUGAAAGUCGGGGGCUUAACCCUCGGAUGCCGGUGGAUACUGUCGGGCUUGAGUACGGAAGAGGCGAGUGGAAUUCCUGGUGUAGCGGUGAAAUGCGCAGAUAUCAGGAGGAACACCAGUUGCGAAGGCAGCUCGCUGGGACGUUACUGACGCUGAGGCUCGAAAGCGUGGGGAGCAAACAGG
rnacentral:rRNA from 1 species